rnacentral:lncRNA from 1 species
CCUGAGCGCCUGAGUCCAGCUCCACAUGCUGCUGCAAAUGUGCCAUGAGGGCUUUUGAAGGCACAGGCCAAAGCAGUUUUACCAAUCUUACUGGAAAAAUGAAGCAAGUCACAAGGUCUACCUUCUAUGCUGUUACUGGCUGGAGUCCACCUGUCACCCAGCAGUGAAGACUAACAGCCUCGCCUGACACUCCCUCAGCUCCCGGAGCGAUACCAACAACCACAAAACCCUAAAGAGUCCCUGGGAUGCAGCUGUCUCUAGACCCCUUGACAAAGACAGCGAGGCUCAUCGUGGUAAGACCAGCUCCAGUUGGCCACUGAGGGGCUCAGUCCUGCAACUUCAAGGAAUCAAGUCUGACAACAAUUGUGCAACCUGGAAGGUACUUCUGAGCUCCAGAAGGAACACAGCCUGCCGGCCCCUUGAUUGCAGCCUUGGGAGACCCUGAGCAGAGGACCCAG